UAUGCCUGUAAUGGCACCAAAGAGCUGAGGCUUUACAAUAUACAAAGGCAUAUUAUCUCUUUGCUAAACCAGCCAAAUGAUUCAGGACAGCAAAAUAGUUCUCCAGGAAUGAUUUCAGGCCAUUGUGUAGCAACAGCUCCGAGUUGCCACGUAGGGCUGCGUUUGAACCGCUGACCUAGGAGCAAAAUAAAUUACGUGUAGGCUGAGGUAUGGAGAUGGGACAAUUCCAGUUUCUCAGGUUUUGAAGGAAUAAAAUGGUGACUGUAGAUGGUGGCUGUUUUGGAGUCCGUGCUUCUCUUCCCGUCUCUCCUCUGGAUUCUUCUGAGCAGCUGUCUUUCAUAUGCAUGGC